AUGAUUUAUCUGUUUUUUUCAGGUUAGUAAGUAAUAAGGCCACACAUGUGGUCCACAUAAUUUACAUGCCAAAUAAGGGUAAAACCCGACCAGCAGUUUGUUAUGCUGAGAUCUGUAUUCGCUUGUUUUGCUCAUUGAAAUGUGUUAAGGUCGAGAGUAGGAGCUAGCUUAGCUCGCCGCAUGCUGGAGUAGCCGUCGGCUUUGUUGUUUCCUAAAUUUAAGGCACCCUCUUGUAACAAAAGUACACCACGGCUCCUGUAUAUUUGAGUUAAUGUGUUCGCAGAGACAGUUUGAUGUGUUGUCACUGUUAUUGUCUAAAGUUAGUGUAAUAGGGCUUUGGAGCGUGAUGUCACAGGGGUGGGCGUGGAAAGGAUUUUGGCCCGAUCCGCCAUUUUCGGGGUCUAGCAAGUGAAAAGGGAGCGAAGGCACACACAACAGCCGUGGUUCGUAUUUGCUGUGUGGUCGGCUGCAAUGUGUGAUCGCACGACCGGCAAGAGAAUAAGCUUGAAAAGGGUUUGUCUUUUCAUUCUUUCCCAACCUGGAAGCAACAUGAGGCAGCUCGUGUAUCGAUGUUACCAAACGAAGGCGUCUAGCCUGGAUAGCAGCUGUGAGACGAGCUGAUAUCCAGCUCUCUUCCAUCUCCAAAUAUCUGUUGGUGCUCCAGACAUUUUCAUUCCGCAAACCAGCCUAUGAAAUGGAUGAAACAUCGUGACUGGGUUCCAGCGCUACAUAACGGGCCUGCUUCAAACUUACCACCAUGCCAAUCAGAUUACUUCUUCCAUGUGAGGGUGAAGAGGUGACCCUUCUGGAUAAGACGGUGAAGGUUUGCUGCGUUUGUUGAACAGUGUUAUAGUAAAACCAGGGAAAAUGAAACUUGCUCCUGUUAAAUAUUCUUAAGUCUUUUGCUGUAUAAAUAGUGGUAUUUAUUUUUGUAAAAAUACAGUAAAUAAUGUUAGUAAUGAUUUUAUGUAAACAUUUUGUCUUUUAUAAACUAUAAAUGACAUGUCUGUCUGUUGCACCAAGGCUGUGGAACAGUUUACCACUACAGUUACGUUUGCUUGACUCUGUG
ensembl:lncRNA